GCAAACUGCAGAAUCACUCUCUCUCUCUCAAGGUUCCGUCUCUCUCUCUCUCUCACGGUUCACGCCACCACGGCUUCUCUCCCGGUGAGAAGCCGCCGGCUGGUCACCCCUCGCCUCCCCCAUCUCCCUCGACUAGCCUGGAUCCCCCCCUUCCCUCAUCUCUCGCUCCCUGCCACCUCGCCGUCACAGCCUCCUUCCGGUGACAACAGCCAAGGCCGCCGAGCUCUAGCCUCCAUCGUUUCUCUCUCAAAACUCUCGCUUGUUCACAGAUCCGACGGCAGUAGCAGCGGAAGCUAACCACCGCCGUCCGCCGACUCCGACUCCUCACCUCUCUGUCUCCGGCAGACGACGACAACGCCGCCCCUGUCUCCCUCCGCUCAGACCAGCUCCGACCAGCCACCGCCCCACACAGGUAAACCCCCAAAUCUCCCUUCUCUUCCUCUAAAAAAAAAGAAUCUGAAAAUCUAAUUCCUCUUCUCUCUCUCUCUCGUUUUGGCAUAACAGAGACUGGGCGGCAGUUGCCGCCGCGCCGCCGUUGCCGGCGCCCAGCAGCCACCUGCUGCUCCCUCUUUCCCCUCUCACGACUCGGACAGCGCACACACACAAAAAAGCAUAAGGAAACCCUCCCAAUUCAAUCCAGAUUCACAAAGUAAAGCAAAGCUAGGGUUUUAUUGUAAAAAUCUGUUCUUUCUCAUUCUUAUUUAUUCUCUAAAAAAAAUUCAAAUCUUGUACUUGUAAUAGUUAGAAAACGAAGUGAUGAUGAGUGUGUGUGUUCG
rnacentral:lncRNA from 1 species